rnacentral:rRNA from 1 species
CAUAUCAAUAAGCGGAGGAAAAGAAACCAACAGGGAUUGCCUUAGUAACGGCGAGUGAAGCGGCAACAGCUCAAAUUUGAAAUCUGGCCCUCGGGUCCGAAUUGUAAUUUGUAGAGGAUGAUUUUGGUGCGGUAUCUUCCGAGUUCCUUGGAACAGGACGCCUUAGAGGGUGAGAGCCCCGUACGGUUGAAUGCCUAGCCUCUGUAAAUCUCCUUCGACGAGUCGAGUAGUUUGGGAAUGCUGCUCUAAAUGGGAGGUAAAUUUCUUCUAAAGCUAAAUAUUGGCCAGAGACCGAUAGCGCACAAGUAGAGUGAUCGAAAGAUGAAAAGCACUUUGAAAAGAGGGUUAAAUAGCACGUGAAAUUGUUGAAAGGGAAGGAUUUGUGACCAGACUUUUUCUGGGCGGAUCAUCCGGGGUUCUCUCCGGUGCACUUUGCCCAGUAAAGGCCAGCAUCGAUUUUCGGCGGCGGAUAAAAGCAGUGGGAAUGUGGCUCCCUACGGGGAGUGUUAUAGCCCAUUGUAUAAUACGCUGCUGGGGAUCGAGGUACGCGCUUCUGCAAGGAUGCUGGCGUAAUGGUUAUCAAUCACCCGUCUUGAAACACGGACCAAGGAGUCGAACAUUUAUGCGAGUGUUUGGGUGUUAAACCCUCACGCGUAAUGAAAGUGAACGGAGGUGAGAGCCCGUACGGGUGCAUCAUCGACCGAUCCUGAAGUUUUCGGAUGGAUUUGAGUAAGAGCAUAACUGUUCGGACCCGAAAGAUGGUGAACUAUGCGUGGAUAGGGUGAAGCCAGAGGAAACUCUGGUGGAGGCUCGCAGCGGUUCUGACGUGCAAAUCGAUCGUCAAAUCUGCGCAUGGGGGCGAAAGACUAAUCGAACCAUCUAGUAGCUGGUUAC